UGGGGCCGUGCUGGGUGGGGUGGGGUGGGGGGCGGAGGGGCCGCGCUGCUGGCGGCGUGACAGCGAUAGGGACUGGCUGUGCUGCCGACUCCGCGCCGGCAGGAGGAGGAGGCGGCGGAGGCUGGCUCCUUACUCAGCCUGCAGGCUGUUACUGCUGCUGCUGCUCAGCCUCUGCCUGGUGCUGCCGGGGAGCCUCUGCGGCCAAACCCCACUCUCGAGUGGCAGACAGAUUUGGAGUGAAUCACAUCAAAACUUUACCUCAGCCCUACUCCAUGAUUUCAGCCUGUAUCCUAAGAAAAUGAACCGGGCUGCAGACUUCUCAUAGUGCCCAGAUUGUGUACCUGUUGCCCCUCGGUGUUUUGAAACUUCUUCGGAGUUCGUCAGUGCAAGGAGGCCAGCAUCCUCAUCCCAGGACAUAGUGAUCUGCAGGAGGUCUCUACUGAUCUCAUCUGGUCUGGUCAAGACUUGGCUGGACUCAGCCGAAUUCAUCUGGGCUUUGCUCCAGGACACAGCUCACAAAGCCAAAGAGUUGAUUUGAGGACACAGGCCACCAGGACUGAUACCAGCCAUGAAGAGUAUCCAGGAGCUGUUAUAGAGGCAGCACAUCCCCAAGCAGCCAGCACGGCACCACCAAGCUCCUUCCCUGGGAACUACACUCAGCAUCUCAACAUCCAGCCACCACAGUUCUGAACUGUGUCUGUGAGCACCCGUGCUGCAUCUCGAUUUAUUUUGUGCAUCUGUUAGCAAGAUGUGUCCUAAGUAGUGAUGAGACCUUGAUGUGUACCUGCUCUGAGCUUCAGUUUGAAAAUCUACGGAAUGGUCCUAAUACACCUGUGCGAAGACCUGCCAUGAGGAUUAAAUGACAGAUGUCCCUUGCCCUACUCCUGAUUCUGUCUGUAGUCUUUCCUUAUCGCCUUGAAGUCAGUAGCAUUUAUUGCCUCAGGGGAAGAGUGAUAAGGCAGAAAAACCAGAAAACUACUUAGGACUGGGACACCGGGUUAAUACUAUGAGCAGUCAUGGUGGGAAAACAGACAUGGACAGCCCAAAGAGGACAGCAGUGGAGCAUCUCCAUGACCAGUAGGUACAGAUUGGGUGUCUUCCUCCAGCAGCAGGCCUGCAAAACAACUCCAAACGUGGUGCGGGCAGUGGGAGACGUCCAAAGAAUUCUCAGACAGGCUGUGCGGCCAGGCUCGGGCUUCACACCCUGGGGAGCCACGCACCACCCCAGGAACGACCAGGACAAGUGCCACUUAAGGGACGCGCCCAGCAGGCCCCUCCGCUGCACAGGAAAAGUGGUCCAUAAUGGUGCAACCCACGAAUGAGGCUGGUGUGGAUUCAAUGGGACCCAGUAGGACCUCUCACAGGCUGAAUGAGUGAAUCCGUUUGAACCACUUAGCACAAUGUCUUGCCUACAGUGAACGGGCUGGGCUGGGCUGCCGGAGAAUGACAGGCCACGUGGCGCACAGGAGCUGCCCCAGCUGAGGCCACUGCAGACCAGCCAACCCCUCAGCUGAUGGGGCAGCAGACAGCAGAGCAGGAGUGAGCCAGCCUAAUAUGCCCAACUGCAGAGCAGUGAGCUAAGUAACAGUUGCUGGGUUUUUUUUUGUUUUGUUUUGUUUUUUGUGUUUUCUUUGUUUUGUUUUUGUGGUACGCGGGCCUCUCACUAUUGUGGCCUCUCCCGUUGCGGAGCACAGGCUCCGGACGCGCAGGCUCAGCGGCCAUGGCUCACGGGCCCAGCCGCUCCGCGGCAUGUGGGAUCCUCCCGGACCGGGGCAUGAACCCGUGUCCCCUGCAUCGGCAGGCGGACUCUCAACCACUGCGCCACCAGGGAAGCCCACAGUUGCUGUUUUAAGCCACUAAGUUUUGGCUGGUUAGUUAAACAGAAAGAGCGAACUGAUAGGUUUACUGUGUGCCAGACACUGGCCGUGUACUUUAUGUCAUGGUCCUAUUUCUUUAAACUAUAUCAGUACCUAUCAAUGUGAAGAAUAUGUGUUCUGGGAAGAAAUCGCCCCCAGCCAGCCCCUCAGUUUGCUUCUGCCUGAAAUUCUGAUUGAAUUUCUGUGCAGUCAUUUGCUCCAAGGAGCUUUCAGGCUCUGACAAGAAGAUCAGAAUAUUCUGCGAUAACCCCCUCUCAUUCCUCAGUCUCCUGUCACUUAAAGGCGUGUGGAGUUAUGGAAUGGCACUCCAGUUGGAAUCCAUCCAACGUCUCAUUCUGCCAGCAGCUCCUUGGGGAACCUCUUGCUGUUUUUAAGCAUAUGUAGGUUCCUAGAUGUCAGGGACCAAGAGAUGAUCCUUUAGUGCACUUAUCAGACAGUCCUAGGGAAACCGAGGCAAGAAGGCAAGCUAUCCAAUUCUUUCUAUGCAGAAAGAAGUGGGAGUAGAUGGAUGGCGGUAACUUAAAGCCCUUUGGCAGGAUGACAGCCACCAAAGCAGUGACCAUGGUAAGUGCCAAUGCAGGGGACAGCCUCAGGCCAAGGAGCAAGGCAUGGCCUCAGGCUGGUGGUGUUCCUUCCCAGGUGGCUGUACUCUGGUGUGGAUAACCUCACUCUGGAUCUUACUGUGGGAUUCGAGGCACAGUUUGUCGCAGCCCGUUGGGGUAACAGACACUUAUUUAAAGUCAAGGUGUCUGCCAAAAGAUAAUAGCUUUAAAUGUAAAAUUACAAAUCAUUAUGGGUAAUAUGAUGCAAAUUGCAAGAGAAGCACCGGCAGUGUUUUACUUUGAUUUCUUUUUUUUUUUUUUUGCAGUUCGCGGGCCUCUCACUGUUGUGGCCUCUCCCAUUACGGAGCACAGGCUCCGGACGCGCAGGCUCAGUGGCCAUGGCUCACGGGCCCAGCCGUGCCGCGGCAUGUGGGAUCUUCCCGGACCGGGGCACGAACGCGUGUCCCCUGCAUCGGCAGGCGGACUCUCAACCACUGCGCCACCAGGGAAGCCCUACUUUGAUUUCAUUUUCGCUUUUCUUUCAUUGCGAGCCUUGUCUAAAGUUGCUGCUAGAGACACCUUAUUCACGCACCAUUUACCCUUCAGCUAUGGCAUGAUAUUGUUCACUGGGGGAGGACGUGAGUGGAGGCCAAGGGGUCUGUGGAAGAGUCCCUUUAUCCACACAAACUGGGGUUAUUUCUAAGAAACCCAGACUUAACUUUUUCAACGUUGGUUUCUUCAUUUACCCUCUGGGAAGUACCUGGACAUGUUCAAUUUCCAUUGGGAAUUGGAAGUCAAUUUUAACAGUUAAUCCGAAAGGCAUCCUUCAUCAGAUGCUAAGCGAAGGCUUUUAAAUAACCAGUCGCUGGAUUUGUUUCCUUUACCUUCUCAGGGUCUCUGCUGCAGGAGGAAAGACUUAUGAGCACCUGGUCCUUAGAAGGUUCAAACUUGAGUUUUGUGUUCUUUUUUCUCAGGGACGUGGAAAAAUUGAAAAGUGGUCAUUUCUCAACGGCUUUUCCUUAUAGCCAUGGGGAGGGAGAGAUUGCUGGAUCUAAGAUCUGUCUCGAAGCAGCAAAACCGGAAAAGAAAGGAAUAAGCAGCAAAAAAAAUUAAGAAGUGUUUAAAACACUCUUUGAAAUGUUUUAUAGCAAAUUUCUUUCAAGGAAGGGGGUUCAAAUGGGCUGACCAUUUGGUCACUGAGAGAAGCCCUACCAAACGUAUUCCCCCAAACAGUGGGUUUUUGACAAAGGUUUCUGGAGUUUUCAGGCUGAGAACUAUCUCCUUGCCAGGCUGUGUGGGUCUGGCUUCAUCUUCCUCUUUUUUCAGCUCCCCCGUGGCCACCUGUUUCUGAGGAGCUCAGUUCUCAUAAUGACAAGGAAACCUAGAGGCUGAAAAUAAAGCAGAUUUCCCAGAAUCUCAGCUCUGUCCAGCUCCUGGUGGCAGGGAAGGAAGCCAAUUUCGCUGGGAAAUACUGCAGAGGUUUUUACCAUGUUUUCAUGGGAAGGGCCGAGCUUCCACACGCUGGAAACAAGGGCCAGACUCAAGUGAACCUGCAGCUGGGACUGUUUUUUUCUACUGAAAGUGCUCGGUCAGUUCCUAACUGCGGGAACUGCAUUAGAUCCACAGCCCCAUAACUCUCGUUUGGAUGUUUGUCACCUGAGCACUUGAGGUCAUCUGUGAACCAGGUCUGUCAGCCCAGGCAUCGCCUCCCUGAGACCACUGGCUUCUGAAGGAUACUUCGGAUUGGUGUGAGACUUAUCAUUUCCAAUGAAGCUGUGUAACUUGUCCGGAGAGUCCUUAGCCCGUUUCAUAAUACACAACCUACGAGCAAGGCGUCCUUGUUCUAGCCCGAGAAAAUAAUAAUAGCAACCAUUAUGUAUUAGUUUUCCAUUGUCGUGUGAUGAAUUAUCUCCAAACUUAACUGCUUCAAACAAUAACCAUUUCUUACCUCACACAGUUUCUGGGGGUCAGAAAUUCUCCUUAGCUUGGCAGAUGCAGUUCAGGGUCUCUUACAGAAAGGCUUUAGUCACAGUAUCAGCAGAGGAUGCAGUCACCUGAAGGCCUGACUGGGGCUGGAGGAUCCACUUCCAAGACGGCUCCCUCACCUGGCUGGCAACUUGGUGCUGCUGUCUCAGCUCCUAAACUAUGUGAAGGGGGGAAGAUGCAGAUUCUGAGGAGAAUCUCAAUUAGAGUGAGCAACUGGACUUCAAUGAGAGUGAGCAGAAACACAGAUCUCCACUGUCCUGGUUCGGUCCCCCCAAAGACAGUGUGGCCCGGCUACGUGUCCAGAAAAGACUUUCUCAUGUGGCACUCCCACCGGAGAAUGUACUUCCUCCCCACUCUGUUUCCGUGUUUCUGCUGCUGCUUGCCCACCCUUUCCAGGGUGAACACUUUCCUCCCCGCUCUCCACUUCAGCCAGGCUGGUUCGUCUUUCAAGGCCUGAGUAAGUCAGGACUCCUUUGGCUGCCCAGGACAGAAACCCACUUCACGUGGGCUUAAACUAGAAAAAGAAUGUAGAAUGUAUGGGCAUAGAAUUACAAUGUGACCCAGCAAUUCCACCCUGAAGUAUAUACCCCAAAGAAUUGAAAACAGGCAUUGAAACAAAUAUGAACACAUGAAUGUUCACAGCACCAUUAAUCAUGAUAGCCAAAAUGUAGAAACAGCUCAAAUGUCCAUCAGAAUGGACAAACAAAAUGUGGUAUAUUCCUGACAGUGGAAUAGUAUUCGGGCUUAAAAAGGAAUGAAGUACUUAAACACUCUACAAUAUGGGUAAACCUUGAAAACAGCAUGCUAAGUGAAAGAAACUAGAUGCAGAGCAUCACAUGUUGUAUGAUUCCACUUAUAAGAAACUUCCCGAGAGGAAGAGGGAAUAGGAAGGGAUUGCUCGAUGGGUAUGGAGUUUCCUUUCGUGGUGAUGAAAAUGUCUUUGGAACUGGAUAGAGGCAACUGUUGCACAACAUUGUGAAUGUACUCAACGCCACUGAACUGCACAUUUUAAAAUGGUUAAUGGUUGA